rnacentral:rRNA from 1 species
GUGUCAGCCGCCGCGGUAAUACGUAAGGGGCAAGCGUUGUCCGGAAUCACUGGGCGUAAAGCGCACGUAGGCGGUUUAGCAAGUCAGGGGUGUAAGCUCUAGGCUUAACCUAGAAAUUGCCUCUGAAACUACUUCACUUGAGUAUUAGAGGGGAAGCUGGAAUUCACGGUGUAGCGGUGAAAUGCGUAGAUAUCGUGGAGAACACCCGUGGCGAAGGCGGGCUUCUGGCUAAUUACUGACGCUGAGGUGCGAAAGCUAGGGGAGCGAACGGGAUUAGAUACCCGCGUAGUCC